rnacentral:lncRNA from 1 species
UGGAUGAGCAGAGUCGACAUUGAGAGCUGGACUCCCGCGGGUAAGGUCAGCUUCCCCAGUUUAGUUUCCUUGGGAACCUUCCGUGCCAUAACGAUUGCCGGUGGGUAGAGCCUUAGCACCUCAUUCAAAAUCAUCGUGACCUGAUCAUGAAAAAUUCGUAAAAGUUGUCAUAUGGUACGAAAGUGUAGUCAGGAGCAUCUACGUGAUUAUGAUGCCCGAGAGAGAUUACAACAAUGAAAUCAAGGAAAGGUCCUCUGCAUCUAACAUCAAUUUUCACGAAGAGAAUGGAUAAUAUUGUAAUUUACGUACAAAGGUUAUAGGCUCUUGUUAAACUUACAAUCUUGAGGUGGCUCAAUCCGUCAAAGUCAGGUUUUCUGCUUCCAAAGGUUUGGAGGACCUCCUCCCUAGCUCGGGCUUGCCAAUCUGGGUGCACGCUUAACAAGACCAUGGUCCAUACUAGCAAAACCGAAGUGGUCUCUUGUCCGGCGAAGUAGAAAAGCUUGCACUCCUCAAUCACAUCGUGAAGGCUCAUCCCGACAUCCUCCUUCAUGUUUGACUCCAGCAACAGUCCCAGCAGAUCAUCGCCAGCAGCGUCACCUGCCCUUAUUGCUUUCACUCUUCUGCGGAUGAUGUCCAUGAGCACAGCCUGCACUUCCUUAUUUAUGUUCUUCAUCCUUCUGUUCAUCUUAGUGGGCACAAACCUGAGAAAUAUUGAAUAGUUGGAUUUUUUGUAAUGUCAUGAUCUUAAGCCAGAAGCUCAUUUAGAUUCAACUAUCUCAUGGAUGAUGAGAGAUUUACCUCCAGCCGGGAAUGUAGACCGAUUGAAGGGCUUUAAUAGCGAGCAAGGCUUGUUCCUCUUGAAGUUCAAAGAUCCUUUUGCCUUCUUCAAAGCUACUGCCAAAUGCUGUCCGAGAGAUCACGUCACGGGUCAAAUUUUGAAGGUCGACCCAUGCGUCAACCUCACACGAUCUCUCCUCUAAUACUGAUUUCUCCCAUCUGUCGACCAUUUCAGUGCAACUCAAGUAAAAAGCGGGCAACAUAAGCUGCAAGAACAGCCGACCAAUGCAAACAAGGAGUUAAAAGAAAAUUCCUGAGGCAUCAAUGUGUGGGGUUCAAUUUAUAUGAGCACAGUACAGUUUUAGGUACCUUCAACUUCUCCAUGUGGAAUGCUGGAUUGAUAAUCUUUCGGUGCCGAGCCCAUUUCUCGCCCUCAUGGUUCGCGAGUCCAUCAGCGAGCAACUUCACCAGGGGAUUGGAGGCUGGCUUGGGAUAGUCAUAUAUCUUAGAGAAUACCUCCUUUAUUUGUUCCGGGUUCGUAAUGUUCACUCUUGGUGUUGGGCCCAUCCAUGUGAACGAGUCUUUGCCUACAAUGCAUCCAGCAAAAUAGGCGGCACAUUGCCAAAAGAACCAUUCAAAUUACAAUUUCAGCUACUCUCUAGGAAUGCAUGCUCUCGGGUGAUUUAAUGAAUGUCGACAAAAUCUUAUUAAUCUCAUUAACAAAUAGCCUCAUUUGUCAAAAUAGAGCAUUCUACAUUUACCAGUCGUCUGGACUCCAGACAUUGGGCCUUUUUUACUCACGUUUUGAAAAAGAAAAACUCACUUAACCGGCACUUGCAUUUGACUUGGAAAAAUCAAAAAAUAGAUUUUUACACAAACAUAACUUCACUAAUAAUUGUUGCUUUUUUGAGGGCAGUGACCACCACCAUUCCAAUCAUUGGGCACGCGUUACAGUGAUUGAUGGAUUCAUGCCCGUGUCAUUGAAUUGCCAUGGGGUGCAAAAGGGACAGAGACCAGAGGCUUUGAGGCAAGGAGCACAAGCCAUGAUUAGUGGGACAUCAGAAACUCAAGCCACGAAGGCGAGAGCGGGUGGCAGAAAUCCAUCCAGGACUCGUUACUCAUCAUCAUCCACAUGAUUUUGGUCCCACUGAAUUGUGAAUAGCUUGGCAUCUUGUGCUUCUAUGGUUCGAAUAGGGACUUGUCUCUGCCCUAUGACAGUGACUUUUGACUCCCCCAAAACAGGUUACUUAUCUUGAUUGACAUCCAUGAAUCCUUCAAUCUGAAUGACUCUGAUAUUUAGGGUGAUCGGCCAACGAGGGCUUAAGUCACGUCAGUCACAGCAGAACGUCUCUACAUAUCAAUCAUCCAUCGGUGUACACUAAAUAUCUUUUCGAAUGACCGAGGAAAUCAUGGUCAUAAAUGACUUUUAUUUAAUGUAUUCUCUUGGAUUAUAUGGUCUCUGAAUUGUGUGCAUGUCAAAUAAACAAGAAUUUUAAAGACUUCGAGAAUAUUACCAUCUUUGGUAGCCAAAAUUCAAAACGGGAAGCAUGAAUGGCCAAUUAAAAGGGCAGUAGAUCCAAAUGUUUGGAAAACUCAUCAAAGACGGCAUCGACCAAAGGAAGAAAACAAGUGAGCUUUAACGAAGUAGAAGAAAAGAGUGCCACGCACAGAGAUAGUAUGAAGAUGUGCAUACCAUAGGUUUGGAAGGAUUGAUGCAAGAAAGGCAAGAGACGAGGCUUGAUGUCAUCGGAGACGGCGAUGGGCUUGGACUUGGCUUCCUUGAGCAUCCGCAAGUUCUCCUUGAGGUCGCCGACCAGGAAGGUGUAGGACUUGCCGGAGAGACCUUGCUGUCUCAGAAGCCUCUCGAGCCUCUUCGGCCUCAGCCACACCCAGUUCACCGCCCUCCACGCCCAUGUCGUUAGGACGGCCAGAACCGUCGCUAGUGCGAUUGACUGCAUUGAAACCCCCAUCUUUUCUUCUUCUGUGUGCGCGUAUCUACUUGUCUGUAUGUGGGUGGGGUUGGGAAGGGGGGGUGGGGGAGAGAGAGAGAGAGAGAGAGAGAGAGAGAGAGAGUUCAAUGUGUUGAUGGCAUGAUAUUGUUGGGAAAGGUGUCGUGUUUAUAGAGCCAUAGCCCAUUAUAUACGUGGGUGUUGGCCGAGAAGCUUCUUGACCUUGACCCAAGAUGGAUAAAAAAUGAAAGGAAAAGAGAAGGAUUACCCAAAAUAACGAGCAAUGAAAAAAUAUUUGCAGACUUAAAACGGAAGGAUGAGCGUGGCAUAUGUAUUAAAUGAAAUAUAAAUGAUCGAAAAUGGUAUUUCUCAUUUAAAUAACAUCAUAUAUAUUAUUUUGGUAAGGAAAUAACAUCAUAUUUUGCAGUUCAUAAAAACGAUCAAAUCUCUUUUUUGCUCGUAGGACGUGUUUUGGAGAAAGGGAGGCAUGGAAUUCAUUUUCUGCCCAUGUUGUAAUGAAAUUUGAAAUAGGUGUAGCUUCUAUAUAAUUUGGCAAUAGUGUGUAAUUAUCAGCAGUCUAUCAUCUCCUAACAUUCAUAUGACAUUAACUCGAGCGGCUGUAGAUAAAGCGAGAGGUUUUCCCCUCAGUUGUUUUCCUGCUUUUGUUCGCUAAUUGGGUGGAUCUUUGGCUCGUUCUGGGGACAAAGGCGGCAUAAAGUCAUCGUUGUUUUGAUUAGACAAAGACAGGACGAGGAACUACCAUAAACGAUUUUACGUGCUUUUUCCUUGUUCACACGUUGUAUACGUUCAUCGUUGUUUUGAUCAGAUAAAGACAGGACGAGGAACUAUCAUAUAUGAUUUUACGUGUUUUUUCCUUGUUCACACGUUAUAUACGCGGGUUUGCUUUGGCUUUGCAAGAGCAUAGAGAAGAGCUUUUCUUUAAGUGUUUUUUUAUCAUGAUAUUUACUGACAUUUUUUAUUAAUGUCUUCAAUUUUUUGGAAUUAGGUAAAUCUAUACCUUAUGUUCUAAGAAAUACUCAUUCCAUUACCAUUUUAAGGCUGGUUGAUGUUUCUCUUGUGUGCAAAAGUAGAGUAGGGAGACGAUUUUGUUUUCAAUUAUAAUUCCGAAGUUAUUACAUUGGAUCAAAUGACCAGGCAAGGUGGGAUUCCUUCCAGAAGUUCAUGUAAUUUGCUGGUUCUUCCCGGACGACUCAUCCUCAUCAAUUUCAAGAUUACUUUUGAAAUCGUCAAAUUGCCUUUCUCAUGUUACAUCUCCGCAAACGGCCUCCGACGAGGAAUGUGUUUGUAUUGGAUAUGUCCUUAAUCGUGUGUAAAAUGAAACUGAUCAAAGUUGUCGAGUGCCCAUAUGGCUUUUCAAGUUUAUUUAUAUAUUUAUUUUUCAAAGAAUUAAUUAAUAAAUGGUGAAAAAGUCAGUGCAUCGUUGAAGUUCGUCGGCGACGAAGACGAUCUCAGUUGAGGUUGUGACGAUGACGAUGAUGACGAUGACGAUGAGGAUGACGACCCCUGCACAAAAGAACUUGCAAAGGCAACAAAAAGAACUAUGACUUUAUUUGUUUUUUGAAAAAUUAAUUAUUUGAAAAAUAUUUUCUUAAAAAUAAUAAAAUAUUGCUUAAAAAGGUGAAUGUGUAAUUUUUUUUUAUUGUCCACAAAAAAAUUCGAAUAAAAAUUGUUAUCGAUAAUGAAAGAAUUUUUCAUUGAUUAGUUUUUUCAAGCUAUACAAGUUAUCAUUUUUAGUUUUUUAAAUUAUUUAUUUUUCAUGAAACAAAUGAAGCGGGAUAAUGGAAUUGUUUAAAUUUAGCCCUGAGAAAUAUGAAAGAUGGGCUGCCCUACACCCCCAAUCCACGUAUACAAAACCAUUCUUUAUACUAUAAUCUAGAUGUAGAAUUCUUUUCUUAGUCCAAGCUUUUGGAAGAAUCUACGAGAAUCUCGAGUCCAAGUUUCUGUUAUAUUGAUUUUCUUCUUUAUUUUUCCCUUCUUACGUGUGCCGGGUGCUAAUUUCAUGCCAAGUAAUUGAAGGUCAAAGGCCAUGUACAAGAGAUCGAGAGCGUGACCUCCAAGCAAAUUAAUGUCCUCUAUCCCAAGUAAGCAUAUAUAAUAUCUACUGCAAAGCGAACUAAAAGGAAAUCUUCUUUCCUUUUUCGGGGAUUUAGAUCUAUUUUUCGUAGCCAGCCUUACCAAAAGUAUGAGCCUGUCUAACAAUUGGCCAGAAGCAAUUACCUGUGGUGUGACUUGUAAUUAAGGAUGGUUGUUGAAAACUCGAAGCACCUACCAUUGGUAUAAUAAAUUUAUGAACUCCCCGUCACCAAAGUUGACAAUCUUUUCUCCAUGAAUGUUCAAUCAAAUGUUAGAGUGCUUAAAUGAACACACUAAGUUAAAUAGCCACUUAGUGGUUGCGGUGCAAUUUCAUAAAUCCAUUUAGUAUAUGAAUUUUGGUAUCUCUAACAUUACUUGUUCCAAGAAAAUGGUCAAAAUCUGGGUGACCAUGCCAAAUGACUAGUCAUAUUGAGGAUUUUUUUACCUCCCAAGAGAGUCGAGAAGUGCAACCAACGUAGCUAUGUCCUCUAGACAUUAUCAUGGGAUCUGGUUCUUAUUAAAAAUUUAUGGGUUGAAGAUUAUGAAGAGAUCAUCACUCAACACCACUAACGACUUAUUGAUUUAGGUAGGCAAGUACUUUUACCAAACUCCACUGAGGUACAAGUGGUCUUGAACCUAUAUGUACAAAGCAUGAUGCACAACAUACUAAUAAGCAUUUUUUAACCUGCGAUAUCGCUUUUGUGCAACAUUAGCUCAUGCCAUUAAGCCAUCACCACCGACCGAUAGUGACAUCCCUCAUCAAGUUAUCGCAAAUAUGAUUUGUGAAAUUGGAAAAAAAGAAAAGAAAAGAAGAAGAAGGUAAAUUGCCGUUUAUUUCUUAUGUAAUAUAUGAAUUUGUUAGAGUUUGUUAGUUGAAAAUUCUUAAAAGUCGAAUAAUUGUUCUUACUUUUCUGUCAAAGAUUAUUAUCUAAAGUUUAAGGUAUUAUGGAAGAAUUAAAUGUGAACUUACACAUCAACAUAAAAUUAAUGUCAAACGUUUCAAACAUUUUGCGUUAUAUGAAGUCAAAAAUUGUAUGCACUAGGAUUAGAAAAAGACAGAGUAAAAGUCAAUCUAAAUAAACUCUUCGACUUCACUCAAUAUGAAUGUCUAUAAAUUCUAAAUUUCUCUUUAUUGUAAAUUUUUUGUUCCAUUUUGUUCAUGAGUGCUCAACUUCUCACAGGAGAAAAUACAAAAAAAUAAAAUAAAAUCAUAAGCCAAUUGUAUUGAUACCAAUUCAGUCCAAAAACUUCACAUUGGUACUAAUUUAGUUUAUCAACAAAUUUUGAUUGGAAAUUACUGACGUGGACAUUGACUAUCCUACAUGGCAUGAUAGGUGCUUAUGCUACCAUUUUUUAAAUAAUUUUUUAAAUAAUUUUUAUUUUAUUUUCUUUAUUUUCUUUCAUUUCUCUUUUUUUUUUUUUCUUAUUUCCUUCCAUUAGUGGCCAAUCUCCAUGAUGGUUGGCGGAGGUCACUAUUUGUUGGCGAGGGUAACAAUCGUGAUGCCCUCACUGGUCUUAGUUUGAUAGAGGCCAUGGCAUGAGUGAGACACAUCAUACUACACUCCUAUCUCCCUACGUUCUUCACGAUCUCUAAAGUUGCAAAUGCAUUUAUGGCACUCACAAGAGCCUAUCUAAGUUUGAAGGUGUUACCAAUUUCAUCUCAUGUCUUUGGCUCUCUUCUUCCUCCUCCUCCUCUUUGUCAUCAUUGUGUUGACACUUCCUGUGCUACUAUCUGGUACCAGCUAGUGUGUGGAUUUUUUUUUUCUAGUUUAAUUCUACUCUUUUUUUUGGCCCUUUGCCGUAAGAGAAUGGUAAUGAAGAAGUUUGAAAAUGGAGAGCAAGAAGAAGUGUUGGCUAUUGGUGAUGGCAAGGGGCCUCAUCCUCCCACCCCCUUAGGGUGAGGGCUGGGCAAGUGUCCCCUCACAAGCCACAGGCAUAGGUAAUGUUUGCUACCCGUCACAAAGGUUAGCCACUAGCAGAGGGAAAUAUGAAAAAAAAAAAAAAAAGAAGAGAGAGAGAAGAAAAAAUAAGGAAAAUAAAAGAAAAUUAAAUAACAUUUUAAAAAAUUAUAAAAAAGUCUAUGUCAGUGUCAAUUGUACCACAAAAGAUGGUUAUAGUCCACGUCAUAAAUUUCUAACGAAAAUUGGUCGGAUGGAUUCAAUUAGUUUUAAUGUGAAAAUAUUUAACAUUAAAUUGAUACGAUUGAAAAGUUGAGAAUUAAAUUGAUAUCAAUCUAACAUGUUUAGAACUUUUCGGAUGUGAAUAUAUCCUUAAAUUGCUUCAUUUGAACUCUAGAUGUACAAAAUUAAGGGUAUUCCCUCUUAGGUAAGGAAAAAAAAUAUUUUUUUAGGAAUUAAAGGGGGGGAAGGUCGAUUCCACCACACUCAUUUUUUUGGAUGUUUAAGGAAAUAAUAGACUAGUAUAGUAACAACCCGUGUCAGUGAAGGUGGGAAAGGUGAGGGAAAUCCCCACUACAAGGUUGACCUAUGCUACACAGUGUCAAUCUAUUGACUUGUUGACCUUGUAUCCCUAAUUGACUAACAUUGUAUGGGCGACCUUUGCUAGCUAUCAUAGAGGGUGGCCACUAGUGCAGGGAAAUAUGGUAAAAAAAAAGUUGAAAGAAAGAAGAAAAAAAGAAGAAAAAUAAAAAAAUAAUAAUUCUUUUAAAAUAUUAUAAAAAAGUUUAUAUCACCACUGAUUAUGCCACAUAAGACAGUAAGAAUUUAUAUUAAUAAUUUUCAAUUAAAAUUGAUUAGAUGGAUCCAAUUAGUUUUAAUGUGAAAAUGUUUAAUAUUAUAUUAAUAUAAUUGAAAGAUUUAGAUUCGAAUCAAUAUUAAUAUAAUAUGUUUAUAACUUCUUUAUUAUUAUUAUGUUAUUAUUAUUAUUAUUAUUAUUAUUAUUAUUUUUAAUCGAUGUCCUCAAAAACAUUUUUUGAGAUGGGCCAUCAAAUUGAUGUUAGACACAAAAUGCAGUAACAUCAGAUCAGCUCUGCUCUGGCGCGUUACAUAUCCCUUGUGGCGUGCAAGGGACGUCGCAUCGAGCCAAUAUCAAGAACAAGGACAAAUCUCCCCUCAAAGCGUCAUCAUAUUCGUUUAUGCGUUUUCCGAUUAAGACAGUAAUGAGGAAAAAGGAAAAUCGUGCGACACGAAUCUAGGGGAGCGUGCAUGAUGGCAUUUGGGCAAAAGAUUGUCAGCCCCACCAGCAAAAAUGGCAGGCGAAGUUAAAUGGCACUUUGUUAAAAGGGGUUUGACGACAACCUGUUACCUAAUCUUUGACCUCCAGAAGAAUAUCUUUUUGAUUAGGAUUGAAUACUAUUACUUGUUAAGCGGGGAAUUCUAGACUCCUCGACACAUUUAUAAGGCAUAUGACAUUGCCAAAAUACUCCCCUCCCCUAUGAAUGGUGCGCACUUGCACAUCCACAAGGCCAUAAGUUCAUAAUUAAAUUUCACUUAGGUAAUAUGUAAAAGCAAUACCUAGGAGUGCGGAUUGCCCUUUUCUUAUUUCAAGAAAACAUUCAUGUCCCCGUCUUGCUCUAGAACGGAUGGCAUGGAACGGGAGGGAGACAGGAUAAAGGAAUAUGAAUGAUAUGAAAUGGCACAUAUAUUAUGAUUCUUGUAGUUGUACUAAUGAACAAAGUUAGAGAAAAUAUCAUGAUUCCUUUUUGAAAUGGAAAGUAAGGGUUUUUGGUUAAAGUACACUGCAAGUAUUAAAACUUGACACGGGUGGAACUUAAGUAUCAAAAGUUUUAAAAUAUACACUUAAGUGCCAUUUAAAAAAAAAAAUGGGACACUUAAGUACUAAUUCCAACAAGCUUGUUAGAUAUCUAAUGUGACAUUAUUUUAAUAAUAAAAGUGGUCUAUGUCGCUUGCCGGAAUAUUCACUCAAUAAUCAUUGUCUAAAAUGACGUCGUCUUGUAUGUUCACUUAAAUAUCGGUUGUGGUUAAAAAAUGAUUACUUUAUUAUGUAAGUGAUCAUUUAGGCGUCAUUCAUAGUUAAAAGUGAAUACUUAAGUAUCAAGUUUUAUGGAAAGUGAUUACUUAAGUGCCAAAAGUAACGUCAUUUAGCAUACUCUUGUUGUCUACGUGGAUAAUCUUUUUUAAAAGAAUUGUCAUGUCAAUAAAAAAUCUUGUUAAAAAAAGCCACGUCAGCAAUUUAACUAGAAUUUUUGGCCGUUGGCACUUAAGUGUCCAUUUCUUUUUUGAUUUUGACACUUGAGUGUACAUUUUGGAAAUUUUGAUGCUUAAAUAUCCAUCCAUGUCAAGUUUCGGUACUUGAGGUGUCCGGCACUUAAGGGUUUUGAAAUGUCUAAAAUGUCAUUAAAAUGGAUAAUGUUUGAGGAAAAAAAAAGGGUAGCCCGAAAUUGUUGUAUGUGGUAAUUUUUUAAUCUUUUGCCAAUGAAUGGAUUGGAAUUCCGUAAGUGAAGCCAUAAAAUGACCAUUCCCCUUGUUUGAUGGAGGAUGGAGGAUUCCACAUCUUUUGAUAGAAACACACAAAGGAACCGAAAUAUAAUCUAAGAUAACGAUUCUAUUACAGAUCGAUUCCUUUUUUACUAAACAAGGCUUAGUUCGUGCAAUUCAAUCUAGGAUGAUUUGACUGAAACUGAAAAUAGUAGGCAUUUGUCAUCGAUGGAAAAGUAUAAUUAAGUUGAGGCUAAAGAAGCUCACAAUCUUUUAUAUCACAUAAUUUACAGAUUGUACAUGCUUAUAAAGAGAAGAAAAAAUACAAUCUUUUACAGAGCAAGAAUCAUGGAAUACCAACUUAUCUACAGUUGGUAUGCUAAUAUGAAAAUAAAAAAGAUAUCAAAAAGAUUUCAUAUUCAAAAAAUAAUAUCAAAAAAAGAUUUCAUAUCUUAACACGCCCCCGCAAGAUGGAUGUUCCAUCGGAAACGUCCAUCUUGUCUCGUAAUUGUAUCGUCCGCAGCCUUGAUAACGGUUUCGUGAGAAUGUCGGCAAGUUGAUCAUGGGUGGAAAUAUGAGAGACUCGCAUCUUGCCAACUUUAACAAGUUCCCGAACGAAAUGGUAAUCUAUCUCAAUGUGUUUCAUUCGGGAAUGGAAGACGGGAUUUGCACAAACAUAAGUAGCACCUAUGUUGUCGCAAUACAAGCUUGGUGCCGUGUCCAUGUGAAUGCCAAGUUCUUGAAGCAAAGAUUUUACCCAAAUGAGUUCCGCCGAGGCCAUGGCAAUGGCUCGAUAUUCUGCUUCAGUAGACGACCAUGCAACCGAUUGUUGCUUUCGAGAACUCCAAGAGAUAGGAUUGGCUCCUAUAUAAAUCACAAAACCCGAAGUAGAUGUGCGAUCAUCAAUGUUUCUUGCCCAAUCUGCAUCGGUGUAGGCAUGAAGCAUAGGUCGUGUGUCGCAUCUCAAGUGCAACCCAUGGAAUAAUGUUCCCUUAAGAUAGCGUAAAAGCCUUUUUGCAGCUGUCCAAUGGGUUGUGGUCGGCUUAUGCAUGAAUUGAGAUAGCUUGUUUACUGCAAAACCAAGAUCCGAGCGAGUAAUGUUGAGGUAUUGAAGUGCGCCAAUGAGACUUCGAAAUUCUGUAGCAUUGGCUGGUGAUUGUUUGUCAUGAACCGAAAGAGAAUGACCUGUGGCUAAUGGUGUUGCUACCUCUUUUGCAUCUCCCAUUUUGAAGCUCUCUUAUGUAUUUAUGUUGAGAAAGAAGUAAGCCAGUCUUUGUAGGAAUGACUUCAAUUCCCAAAAAGAAAUGCAGUGGCCCCAAGUCUUUAAUUGAGAACCGAUUAGAGAGAGCAUUGAUGAAGUCCGAAACAAACUUUUGGUCACUUCAUGUGAUAAUGAGAUCAUCCACGUACACUAAAAAAUAGACUUGAACACCACCAUGAGAGUAAAUGAACAUCGAACUAUCAUUCUUUGAAUUGACAAAUGAAUUUGCGAGAAGGAAUGAACUUAGCUCAUUAUACCAAGCCCGCGGAGCCUGCUUUAACCCAUAUAUGGCUUUGCAAAGUUUGCAAAUGUGUGUUGGUUUUUCUGAGUCUUUAAAGCCAGACGAUUGCGACAUGUAAACCUCAUCCUGAAGAGUGCCUUGGAGGAAGGCAUUGUUGACGUCCAUUUGUUUCAAUGUCCAUCCAUGCAUUAAAGCCAAUGAUAAAACCACCCGAAUAGUAUUUGGUUUGAUGACCGGGCUAAAUGUAUCAGUGUAAUCAAGGCCUGGUCGUUGGUAAAAACCUUUGGCCACAAGACGUGCCUUGUACCGCUCAAUAUUGCCGUCCACACGUCUUUUUAUCCGAUAAACCCAUUUGCAACCUACAACAUUCAAAGAUGGAUCAAAAGGUAUUAGUUCCCAAGUCCCGUUACGAAUAAGGGCACUGAUCUUAGCCGACAUUGCUUCACGCCAUUGAGGAUCGCACAUAGCUUGUAUAAUUCCUGUUGGUUCUAUAGUCGGUGGAAGUGGAUGUUUGGUGAUGAAGUGGUUGAGUUGUUUGGGCUUGAAAAUAUUAUUUUGGGAUCUAUUGGUCAUUUUGUGAGUUCUUGUAGGUGGAUUUUCGGGGGUUGAUGUUUGGUCAUUAUUGAUAGUGGCAAUUGGGUUUUCAAGAGGUGGCAUUUGUUGGGAUUGAUGUGAGGGUUGGGAAGUCGAUGAGGAUGUAGCACGGGAUGGAAUGUUGCUUCGAGGGGGCACCUGUGCAGAUGGUCCAAUGUUUGGUACUAAAACUAGAAGUGAAACAGUAGGUGGAGGAGAUGGACUUUGAGGGGUUGACAAGACACUUUUAGUAUUGAGAAGUGUUUGGUACGGAAAUGUGUUUUCUUCGAACACAACAUGACGUGAGAUAUAAAGACGAUUAUUUUGUGGAUCAAAACAUUUAUACGCACUUUGUGACAAUGAAACCCUAAAAAUAUACAUUGUCGAGAGCGAGACAUAAGUUUAUUUGUGUUGUAUGGACGUAACCACGAAUAGCAAAGACAACUAAAUGUGCGGAGUUUUUUUAUAAUUGGGAGCCAUUUGGAAUAAUGUUUGAAAUGGUGAAUGCAUAUUUAGAACGGGUGUUGGCAAACGAUUAAUGAGGUAUAUAGCAGUUUGAAAUGCAUAUGACCAAAAAGAAUGUGGUAGAUUUGCUUUGUGUAAUAGGGUGAGUCCGGUUUCAACUAUGUGUCGGUGUUUUCUUUCUGCAUUUCCAUUGUGUUCCGGUGUGUGUGGCGGUGUAGUUAGAUGAGAAAUUUCAUGUUUUGCAAGAAAAGGUUUCGAGUUUUGAAAUUCUCCACCACCAUAUGAGUAUAAAUUUCGAAUAGAGACGGAAAAUUGUUUUUCAACCAAGCUUUUCAACUGUUCAAAAACUUGAGUAACAUCUGGUUUUUUUCUUAAAGGAUAAGGCCAAGUGUAUUUCAUGUAGUGGUCAACAAAUAUAAGAUAGUAACGGAAACCAUCAAUUGAAACAGUUGACACAGGACCCCAAACAUCGGAAAAAAUAAUAUCAAGUGGAAAAUGACUUACAAGAGUUGAUACCCCAAAUGAAAGUUUGUGACUCUUAUUGCACUGACACGCAUCACAUGAUAACUUGGAGCCUACAAUUGACUCAGAAGAUAAAUGAGUUGGAAAAUUGUUAAGAACAUGACUUAGAAUACGAAACAAAGGGUGACCUAGUCGAUUGUGCCAAACCAUCGGUUUUGUCCGCUCAUUGACAAAGGCUGUGAAUUUUGGAUGAGUGUUUGUGAGAGGCAUCCGAUACACGCCAUUGCUAAGCCCUCCUUGAAGUAAUGUCGCUCUCAUGCGAAGGUCCUUCACCAAAAAAUAAUUGGCAAAAAACUCGAUAGAUGAGUGGUUAUUGCGACAAAAUUGUGAGAUAGAAAUCAGGUCUUUGGUACUAUUAGGUGCACAUAAAACAUUGGUUAAUUUAAAGGAUUGGUUUGGAUAGGAUAAAUUAGUAGAACCAACAUGACUGAUACGCAAACCUGUGCCAUCACCAAUGACGAUCUCAUCGGGGCCUUCGUACUCUGAGUGAGUGGUGAGGAUGUUGAGAUUGCUUGUGACGUGAUGUGAUGCUCUUGAGUCUAGUAGCCGGCCAUUUUCUUGACAUGGAGCUGUUGCAACAUGAGCAGUAGGUUCACGGAGACUAUUUCGAAUGCGAAAACAAGAUUUGGCUGAGUGUCCAUAUUGAUCGCAAAACUAACAUGUCGGACGAGGCUCUCUGUUGUCCCGAUUAGAAUACCUCCUAUGAGAAGGUCCACGAUGCUGGUUAGAUCUAGAAUAAUUUUGAUGACGGCUGCGAUUGUUGGGCCAACGAGAGUUGCUUCUUGUGCCACGGUUUCUGUUGCUGUAGUUGGCUGUGACUGGUGCUGUGACUGGUGCCGCUUCAAGUCUAAUUUCCUCCAGUUUUAGUUGGGUUUCAUAGGCCACCAAUUUGUCAUGCAUUUCUUCAAAGCUGAUUGUAUUUUCACGAGCCCUAAUCGCUAUUGCGAUUUCUUUGUAUUCGGUUCCAAGUCCUCGAAGUGCAUGAAUGACUAAAUCAUCAUAAGAGAUAGGAGUGUCAAUGAUUGCCAAUUCAUCGGCAAGGGCUUUAAGUUCCUGCAAAAAUUCUGAAACAAAAUGUGAGUUUCGGCGAGCGGUAGAGAGUUGAUCCUUGAGAUGCAUAACUCUUGAGCGGGAUUUAUUUGCAUAUAAAUUCAUGAGUUUUGUCCAGGUAGCGUAUGACGAAUUGCAAGAGGCAAAAAUUGCAUGAAGCAAGAGCUGAUGCUGGCGAAUCCAAGUUGUUGCGGUUGGAUUUGGCACCGUUUGAUUUCCAGUUGAAAUGGUGAGAGGCGGACAGACAAAAGUUCCAUCAACAAAUCCCAUUAAAUCAUAACCAAUGAGUAGUGCUUGAAAUUGAGCACGCCAAGAGGGAUAAUUGGCAGCAGAGAGUUUGAAUGGCAAUUGGACGGCAGCUGAGAUCGAGAUCACACCAUUAGGUGCAAUUGUUUCGAUGGAAACGGAACUAGAAUUCGAGGUGGUGCAAGCUGAUUCUAAAGUGAAUUCCAUGGCUAGAGGGUGCAGAAGAUUGCAAAAAAAAAAAAAAUGCAGAAUAAUUGGAUCAAAAAGCUCUUAAGAGUAUAAUUGCUCUGAUACCAUAAAGAAGCUCACAAUUUGUGGAUGAUUUUCAUAUCACAUAAUUUACAGAUUGUACAUGCUUAUAAAGAGAAGGAAAAAUACAAUCUUUUACAGAGUAAGAAUCAUGGAAUACCAACUCAUCUACAGUUGGUAUGCUAAUAUGAAAAUAAAACAAUAUAUAAAAAAGAUUUCAUAUUCAAAAAAUAAUAUUAGAAAAAGAUUUCAUAUCUUAACAGAUGCAUUCUUUCUUGCAUAAAUUCCUAAAGACUUCAUGGACUAAAAUUAUUUUUUCUUUUGUACACAACUUGCAAAAUUAUGAAGGAACACAACAAUAUAGUCAGCACAUACAUCACGUCACUUGCCAACCAAAAAGACAGAAGAACCUUAUUUGUUGAAGAAAGGCUAAAUGGGAGAUCUUGAAUCGGCUUUUCUGUCUUGCAAGGGCACUUAUAUAUAUAGAGAUAGGAGGAAGCCGAGCAAGUGGAUAUACAUAGAGAUAGGAGGAAGCCGAGCAAGUGGACAUACCAAUACAAGAUAAUAUUAUUUUUCACGAUUUGUUGAUUGGGGUUGGUUUUGACAUCUUUAGAAUUUUUCAGCUUAUAACGGGUCAUUUCCUAGAUUUGAAGAUCUAAUUGACUUGUUUGUUAAAAUAUCCUAUGCUCUUUGUAUACAUGUGAUAUGUCUCCAUCCAUUAACUUAAAUUUUAGGGUUGAACUUUAUACAUUAUUAAUCUUUUGUUUUUGUUUUUUGUUUUUUGUUUUCCUUCAGGUUACUUGACUUGGUUUGCAUUACGUAAGUUUUCUAUUGUGGCAAUACCCAGUACCUGAAGUUCUCAUGAUGCAAAGGAUUGAUUAUUAAGUGAUUCAUCAUUUUUAUGUAACUAAAUGAAGGACUAGGUUUGGCCAAACAACACUUGACUUUGUAUUUCUGAGAUCGAGGAAUGGUUUAAUGGAUGGAAAGCAGUUUUCGUCUGAAUUUUCGGUUCAUCCACUCUGGAUUCUGCAACUAUUUUCUUGUAUUAUUUUCAAUUAAUUUAAAACUCCAACCAGGUCACGCCAUGUGUACUUACUGUUUAAUUCACUUUAGAAUUGUGUGUAGCAUGUAAGGGCGUUAAGGGUUCGGUUUGAGUCUGAUAUUUUUUAUACCUGACUUGAAUCAAUGCCCAUAUUGCAAAAUCACAUUCAAAACCAAGAAAAGCAAAAUCUUCACCGUUUGAUGUACAAUUCAUCUCACCCACCAGUCAAAACUACGAAAUUCCCUCUUGGCCAAAAAAAAAAAAGAAGUCGAAAAAUAGAACCUUAAUCAAUUUUCUCUGUAUCUUCACUAUAUGUUGUUCGUUGACUUGGUGGAUUUAGUGCAACUUCCCUUAAAAGUCCUUCACCAAGGUGCCUUGAAAGAUCCACAUCUCCCUGUCAGUUAACCUCUGUCAUUCUUCUAGCAGAUGAGUGUUGGAGAAAUCCUCGUGAAGAGUUUUGAAGUUGACAAAAUGUUUCCGUCAGUCUAGUCUGAAGGUCAGCAGACUCUAUUGGUUAAAGUCUGAAGACUUCCGGACAGCCAGACUCAAGACUCAAAGUCUAUCCUCAUUGACAGUCACUGAUCCGUUGAAGAAAGGUUAUCCCGAACUAGAUGUUUUGUUCAGGAUUUAACCUUGUCAUCUGGAGAAGAUCUCGUGGCUGGAGAAGACGUAUCAGAAUCCUUUGAUUGAUCAAGAUUGAUUCAAUGACUGAAGAUUCGAUGAUUGUCUAAAUAUUAUUGGAAGGUUCUACUUAUGGAAACCGAGAUCCUGAUUGUAUGGGCGAACAGGAUUGAUGGGCUAUCAACACGUUCCUUUAAUAGCUAGAACGAUCUUCCUAAUUGAUUCCGUCCAACGGGUAGAUUGGAGGAAUUCCUUUGGAAAGUGCCAACGGGUAUGAUGGCAUAAAGGAGUAUAUAAGGAAGACGUUCUUAGUUGUUUAAGGAGUGCGCGAUAGAAGAAUUCCAAAGUCUGAAGCUCCUAUUUGUUUAGAUAAAUCUCUUGAGCGAAUACUUGUAUACAAAAGAGAGUCUAUAUUUGUGAGAGACCUUGAGAAGGUGUGAUAGAACAUCUACACUGUGGAAUCAAGGCAAAGCUGUGCUGUAACUUCUCUUUUGAUCAUAGUAAAAUCCAGCCGGUAGGCUGUCAGUGUGGAAGAGUGGACGUAGGCUUGGAAUAAGCCGAACCACUAUAAAUCCUGUGUUUGAUUUUCUCUUCCUUACUCUCUCUACAUCGAUCGUAUUUCAAUCUGUUGCUUCCGUAUAUCGAAAAAGUGUUUGUGCGCCUAUUCACCCCCCCUCUAGGUGUUUAUACUAGCAAUAUCAAUGAGGACUCAAAAUGUGUGGCAGCCUCAUUACCAAUAUUUGGUAAUGGGUUGUUGUUGCCAACAUGUCGGACUCUUAUUGAUUACUAGUUCUCGCCAUUGUAAUCUUCUUGAAUCAAUAAAAUGUGUCCCACUAAACUUGCCAAAAAGAUAUUUCACCGAAAAGUCAAUGAAAUACCUUUCAAAAUAUGGAUGGAUCAAUAAUUGAUCAACAAAAGGUUGUGAAUGGUCCUUUGUUGAUUGGAUAGAAAGUAAAUGAGAAGGAAUUUAAAUGAAUGAAGUUUGGAGACAAUUGUAUCCUAACCAUGUAAAUUGCAAGAAAGUAAAGAUAAAAAAUAAAUUUGUUGAAAAAUGUUGAGUUUUAUGAUUGACUGAGAUAAAGAGUACACUUAGAAUAUUUAUAGUCCACAAGCAACGGUUACAUAGACAAUUAUAUCGAAUUCACUACACUAACGGUCACAUAAACUCCAUGACUAGCGGUUGCUUGACAACUGAAUUGAUACCACUACCUUAAUGGUUAUUUGAUGGUUAUCGGGAACCUACUGCAUUGACGGUUAUAUCGACUCCACUACCUUGAUUAUCUCAUUGACGGUUGCAUCCAAAAUUGUUGACUCUACUACUUGAUAGUUAUGUUGCCUCCACUUCCUCAUCAGUUGCAUAUGAGAUUGUCGAUUGAACAAUUGGACAUUUUUUGGCGUUAACUGGGUCACAUGUCUUCUACAAUAUUGUGGUUCGAUUCAUGUCAUAAGCGAAUCUUUGAAUAGUUAAUGCUACAUUGCAUAGCUGUGGCAUACCUUGUGUGGAGAGAUUUCAUGACUAUUAGCAUUUUGAUGAACUUGUGAUGAUAGGCUUGUCAGUCUCAAACCCUUGAGUGGUGUGGAAUUAUUAUGGCUUAAACUAAACAUUUUGUACAGGUUGCAAAAUUGACCCUCGCCAAAGUGAUAAAUGUAUUCAUUCCUGCCAAUGACGAUACUACUCUAACCACUAAUUUUGUGACAAGGAAACCAACAACUUGAGAAGCGAGUUUCAUCUUUCCUUAAGCACAAAUUGUUAUUUUGACAAUAAUAUAGAACCUGUAGGUCAAGUACUUGCUAAUUGUUCUAAAAACUUAAAUUAUUAGAUAACACUUGAUAUGAUCUUUUUGCCUAGUACUAAUCAUGGAAAUUUAAUUGGAGAGGCAAAUGGAGCUUGGAAAGAUUCGAACUAAGGACCUUCAACUCUGAUAUCAUGUGAGAUUUUGUAGGACCACUACUAAUUGUUCUAAAAGUUUAAGCUGUUAGAUGAAGACGCGGUUUAAUAUUUAAUUACUUUAACAUAAUUUAUGAGAAGAAAAAAUUACUAGGCCUGCCAAAAAAAAAAAAAGCUUAGUAAGAUUAUUGUUCCGUGGAAUGAAACAUGUAAAUGUCAACUUUAAAGCUCCGUUCUUUCAUAGAAGAUGUGACAUUUCUAGAAAGUAUUUUACAGAAAGUCAUUGCCUAGAAAAUAAUAAUAUUUUUUGGUGUUUGUUGAAACUUAAGACUAGAGUUAAUUUUUUUUAUUUUUUGCCAUUUGAUAGCUGAUUUGAUUUCCUUUGUACAUUAUAUAUAUAUAUAUAUAUAUAUAUAUAUAUUAUUUUUUUGCUCUUGUUUAUUUUUUUAAAUUGAAUUUUUAAUUAUUUUUAUUUUUGUUUUAUUUUCUUUCUUAUUCUUUCCUUUUCUUUUCCUUGGGUAGUCACUGGCGAGGCUUGAGCUUCCCGACCUCUGGCGAUGCUCAAGUGUCACCGAUCUGCAAGGCUUGAGCCUAGCCAUUCUCUAGCAUUGCCGGCUUUCACUGUGGCUGGUGAUCAACCAAAGAAGAAGAAAAAGGAAAAGGGAAAAAAAUAAAAUUUUCAAAUUAAAAAAUAAAAUAAUUAAAAUAAUUAAAAUGAGUGGUGAAGUAAAUAGUGGGGAAAAUGUUUUUAUUUUUCCAUUGGAGAAAAUAAUUUCCACGACUAGUUUAUUUUCUAUGAAGCGAAUGCUAGAAGAUCUGGAAAAAACAAAUGGAGCGCAAGUAUUUCACAUUUUGGUUUAUUUCUUCAUAAAGAAAUUUUUAGGAGUUUUAUAAGCAUACUCGAAUUGCAAAGGCAAAAACCCAUCACUCUUUGGCGGUACCGACUCGGAGCUGACCUUGGCAUCGCCUAGCUAGGGUAUAAUGACCCUAGGUGGGCAUGGUUGCACAAGGUAGAUAUUGUCUAGGUCGCUGGACCAGUGAGCUUUACUGGUGACCCAAGCGAAGUCUUGCAGGUGUUCCGGCCACCUAAGGUGAGCAGCUAGUGUGGGGCACACGACCUAGCCUCGCCUGGGUUGACCAACUCAUGACAGGCCUUGCUGAUGUUCGCCCAAUCCUAGUGUUGCCUCCCUGGGGUUCAUGUUGCCCCAUAGCCUCAACCUCGCUCAUCGGAAAUCUUCUAACAGACGCUCUUCUUGCUCGACAUUCCUCUGAAGGCGCACCCUUGAAAGAAAGAGCAAGCAACGAAUAGAAGGAGUAUGCCUAGUUAAGAGGAGAGAGCCCAUUUUUUUUUCUUGUAAAGACUGGAUUGAGUGCGCUUCGGAUGAUAGAGCCUGCGAUGGCCUCCUCUACAAAAUACAUUUCGGAAGAAAAGCUGCUCUUGUUUAUCAGCAAGGUGGAUGGGGAGUACGCGGCUGAAGAAGCACAGGCGCUUGUAGCUUUUAUAGUUAAGCUAAGUAGAUGGGCCGUGGAUGGAUAGGUUAGCAGUGGGUGCAGACAACAAGAUGGAAGUAGAAGUGUUCAAGUGUCUCAUGAGAUGGGAGCUGCCAGCCCACAGGCAAGUCCCUUGUAGAGAACAUAGAUCAUAGGAGCACCCAACCAUGACAAGGCUGUUAUAGAUGAAGCCAAAUAUUUGUUUUUAGGGGAUUUUUGUGUCUUUUCUAUUAGAUUUCCUUUUAGAUUAAAAGUGGUAUCUUUAUAUUAGCGAUGAAAAGACCCUAGCAGUCAAGACGCUGAAAAAGGAAAUAGAGAGGCAAGAAAAAGAGAGAAGAAAAAAGUGAGUUUUUUCUUGAUGAGGGUUCUCAAUCUCUUUGUGCCCUUAUCUUGAGAGAAGAUCAUUAUUGUAUUCCAACUGUUUUCAAAGUCUAGUGGAUUCGUAGAAUGCCUCUGCGUGGAGACGUAGCCCAGGUUUGGGUGAACUUCAAUAACAAAUUUUCUGGCAUGUUCAUUUGAUUCUAUUCUUUUAUUACUAUAUUCUGUCUGGUGAAUUAUUUGCAAGUGUUAUUUUUGUGGAAUCGACGUACGAUUUCGUAAUAACUGGUAUCAAAGCCUGGAUUGGCUAAUCGAGAACAUCGAGGGUUUUUUCGGUGACGUUCGAUUGAAAGCAAAUAGUAUGGCAGAAGAUAAAAUCAUAAUCGAUAAGUUCAAUGGAGAGGAUUUCGGAUGGUGGAAACUACAAAUAGAGGAUUAUCUUUAUCAAAAAGAUCUCUAUGCACCACUUGAGGGCUGGAAACCCGAGGUGGCGGAAGUGGAUCCAACAGUAGAAGCCGGAUGGAAAAUUCUUGAUCAAAAGGCAUUAGGUGCGAUUUGUCUAGGGUUGACGAAAAAGACAAGGUACCACAUCGCGAAAGCAAAAACUACAAAAGAAGCCAUGGAUAUUGUAACGAAUAUUUAUGAAAAGCCGUCCACAUCAAAUCAGGUAUUUUUGCUGAAGAAACCGGUUAAUAUGAAGUUAUUUGAUAGAAGUUCUGUGGCAGAGCAUAUUAAUAGUUUCACGCAGGUCACAUGUCAAUUGGAAUCUGCAGGCAUAAAUUUAGAUAUGAAGCUUCAAGCUUUAUUAUUUUUAUGUUCUCUUCUAGAAAGCUACAAUACCGCAGUGUAGGGAAUUUCGAGCACUAUGAAGAAUGAUUUAACUCUUGAUGAUACUGUGAGUAGUAUCAUGGAUGAAGGGAUGCGAAGGAAAGUCUCAGGUGGAGAUAAUUUUUCUGCAUCUACAUCUUCAACGGAACUCGCAGUGGAGAACCGUGGAUGAAGUAAAAGUAGAUGAAAUUUCAACGGGUGUGGCAUAUCACAAUUAAGGGGUAAGAGACAGGUUGCAAAAGAUGAGUGUUGGUAUUGUCACAAAACCAGACACCGGAGGUUUCAAUGUGAAGCCUACAAAAAGAAGCAGCAAGAUGAGAAUCAAUGUGCUAAUAUAGUUAGCGAUGAAUCUUUGCUAGAUAACUUGUGUUUGUAUGCAGGGUUUGACUGGACAACAGAUAAAUGGUUUAUUGAUUCUGGUGCUUCUUUUCAUUGCACCUCACAAAGAGACAUAUUUGAUGAUUAUGCCAGUGGAGAUUUCGGACAAGUGGUUGUGGGAAACGGCCACAUGUGUCCCAUUGUUGGGAAAGGAACCGUGAUUGUGAACAUCUUAGGUGGAGGACGUCUAGUUUUGCAUGAAACUAGGCAUAAAAUCUGAUUUCAACCAAUAAACUUGACCAAGGAGGUUUGGUGAUAACCUUUGGCUGCGGAGAGUGGAAGAUAACCUCAGGGGCAAGAGUAGUAGCAAAGGGAAAGCGUACGGGUACACUUUACCUUCUCCAAGGAGACAAUAUCAGUGAUAUGGUUGCAACUAUAAUGGCUACAGGUAAUUUAUCUACUAUUUGGCAUUAUCGUUUGGGACAUCUUGGUGAAAAAAAGGUGUAAAGAAGUUACACUCAAGAAAAUUACUCCCAGGUUUGCAAAAAGUUGAGUUAGAUUUUUGUGAGAGUUGCAUUUAUGGAAAACAGAAGGUUGUUAGUUUUCAAUUGAAUAGGUGACAAAAUAAAGGUCAGAAGCUAGAGUUGGUUCAUACUGAUGUAUGGGGACCUGCUCAGGAACUCUCUUAUGGUGGUAAGAGAUAUCUUGUCAUAUUCAUUAAUGAUGCAACAAGGAAGACUUAGGUCUAUGCUCUUAAAGAAAAAUCAGAAGUAUUCGGGAUGUUCAGAAUGUGGAAGACCAUGGUAGAAAAAGAAAUAGUUUAUCAGAUUAAAGUUGUAAAGUCUGAUAAUGGUGGUGAAUACACAAGUAAGGAAUUUGCAGAAUAUUUGAGUCGAGAGGGCAUACACGGGUUAAAGACCAUUCUUAGAACUCCUCAAGAGAACGGUGUAGCUAAAAGGAUGAACAUGACUAUUCUAGAACGUGCGAGAUGCAUGAGGCUAAAUGCGGGUCUCUCGUUACACUUAUGGGCCGCCACAGUUGAUGCAGCUGUUUAUCUUAUCAACAAAAGUCCAUCUAGUGCGUUGGAUGGAGAAAUACCAUAAGAACGGUGGUCAGGUAAAAAGAUUAAUUAUUCUCAUCUAAAGGUGUUUGGUUGUAUUGCAUAUCCUUUGACUGACAGGGAGGAUAGGAAAAAGCUUGAUGCUAAGUCCCAUAAUGCGUCUUUAUUGAAUACAGUGGCGACGAGUAUGGCCAUAGGCUUUGGGAUUAUGAGAAUAACAAAGUCAUUCGCAGUCGCAAUGUGGUAUUCCAUGAAGAAAAGAUGUACAAUGAUCAUCAGACAAAGACAGAACAUGAGAAGGCAGUGCAACCAGAAUAUGUUGAAUUAGACACAAUACCCGUGAAGAUGUUUCCAGUAGAUCGAAGUUCACCUAAAAGAGAGGUUCAAGAUGAGCCUGUUAUCAGUGAAGAGGUAGUUCAAGAGGAAUGCAUUAAUUUGGAGCAAACUACACGACCCUGAAGUACCUGUCUUGAGAAGGUCUACACGUGUGAGAAAGCUAAAGGUAAUUUUUGAUCCAUUAGUUAAUACUGUUCUGAGCCAUGUCUUAUAUACAGAUUCAGGGGAACCGGACACUUACAAUGAGGCAAAGGCAGACACGUCUCACUUGCAGUGUGAGUGUGCUAUGAAAGACGAGAUGAGCUCGUUACUUCAGAACAAAACUUGGGAGUUGACCAAGUUGCCCACAGGUAAAAUUUUUUUAUUAAACAAAUGGGUGUACAGGAUUAAGAAUGAGGCAGAUGGUAAUAUUAGAUACAAGGCGAGACUUGUAGUCAAUGGCUUUUCUCAAAAAGAAGGGAUUGACUACUCCGAGAUAUUUUCACCUGUAGUGAAAAUGACAUCAAUUAGAGUUUUGCUGAGUAUAGUUGCAGUGGAGGAUCUUCAUCUUGAGCAGUUAGACGUAAAAACAACGUUUUUACAUGGUGACUUAGAUGAAGAAUUAUACAUGGCACAACCUAAGGGUUUUGAAGUCAAAGGUAAGGAGCACAUGGUAUGUCGCUUGAAGAAAAGCUUGUAUGGCUUGAAACAAGCUCCGCGGCAAUGGUAAUUAAAAUUUGAUGGUUUCAUGCAAGAAAAAAGAUUUGCACACUGUGAGUCUAAUCACUGUGUUUAUUUUUGCAAGUAUGAUGAUGGUGACAUUGUGUAUCUCUCUUUAUAUGUGGAUGACAUGCUAGUGGCUAGUUCCAAUAUAAAGAGAAUCUUAGAAGUAAAGAAGAUGUUAUCAUUACAGUUUGCUAUGAAAGACUUGGGAGAUGCCAAGAAUAUUUUAGGCAUGAAAAUCAUCAGGGACAGGAAAAAUAAGAAAUUAUGGUUGUCGCAGGAAGACUAUGUAAACAAGGUGUUAAAGAGAUUUAACAUAGACAAGUCAAAACCGGUUGCAACUCCUCUAGCGAGUCACUUCAAACUUUCAAAGGAUAUGUGUCCGAACACUUAGGUUUUGAAAGAUGAGAUGGCAGUAGUUCCAUAUGCAUCAGCAGUGGGAAGUUUGAUGUAUGCCAUAGUGAGCACGAGACCAGAUAUUGCACAAGCAGUGGGAGUUGUGAGUCGAUAUAUGCAGAACCCAGGCAGAGAGCAUUGGAAUGCAGUAAAAUGGAUAUUGAGAUAUCUAGCAGAUACUUCCAAUUACUCACUUUGUUAUGGUAGUACAUCUAUAGAGUUGCAGGGUUAUGUAGAUGUAGAUCAUUCGGGUGAUCGAGAUAGUGGUAAGAGUACCACUGGAUAUGUCUUUACAGUUGUAGGUACAAUAGUGAGUUGGGUGUCUCAGUUACAAAAAGUAGUGGCUUUAUUGACAAUAGAGGCAUAAUACGUGGCGCUCACAGAAGUCUCCAAGGAAAUCAUAUGGUUACAAGAUUACAUGGAGGAGCUACAUCGAAAACAGCCAGUCAGUACACUUUGGAGUGAUAGUCAAAGUGCAGUGCACUUAGCAAAGAAUGCAGCUUAUAACUCAAGGACUAGACAUAUCAAGAAGCGUUAUCACUUUAUCAGGUUAGCAUUGAAAGAUAAUGAGUUAAAGUUACAGAAGAUUAAUGGCUCAAAGAAUCCAGCUGACAUGAUGACCAAGGUAGUAGACAGAGAGAAGCAUAUUUUCUAUAUACUACCAUUGGUAUUACUCAAUGCUGAUUGAUGAUGAGUAUCACAGAGGCACAAGUUUUUUAACUACUUUAUUUUUGAAGAAGAUGCAUGCAAAGUUACUUGGUGCUUGGGUAUAUUUGUCUUCAAGUGGGAGAUUCCCAAGUCCAUCAUAAGUGAUGGAGACUCAAGAUUUACUAGGCGUUUUUUGACGGAAGUCCUCCUUUUAAACAGUCUAUUCUUAUACUAGGGAUUUUUGGUUACAAGAGUAGGUUAUAGAUGAAGCCAAAUAUUUAUUUUUAUGGGCUUUUUUGUCUUUUCUAUUAGAUUUCCUUUUAGGUUAAAAGUGGUAUCUUUAUAUUAGCGAUGAAAAUACCCUAGCCAUCAAGACACUGAAAAAGGAAAUAGAGAGGCAAGAAAAAGAGAGAAGAAAAAAGUGAGUUUUUUUCUUGAUGAGGGUUCUCAAUUUCUUUGUGCCCUGAUCUUAAGAGAAGAUCAUCGUUGUAUUCCAACUUUUUUCGAAAUCUAGUCGAUUCGCAGAGUGCCUCUGCGCGGAGAUGUAGCCCAGGUUUGGGUGAACUUUGAUAACAAAUUUUCUGGCGUGUUCAUUUUUUAUUACUAUAUUCUGUCUGGUGAAUUGUUUGCAAGCGUUAUUUUUGUAGAAUCGACGUGCGAUUUCGUAACAAAGGCUCCCUUCAUGGACAAGAAUUGCUUGUUUAUCUAUUUGAUUCACUGCAUAUCCUUCAAUCCCUCCUUAUGUUGCUCGCAACUACGAGAAUUCUGAUUGACAUAACUUUUUCCGUAUAGCCAGUCCGAGGGAAUAUAGCACUCCCGACACAUAGACCACCUGAUGAAGGAGGGAUCGGGAAAGCUACAAGCUGGAUUUUUGCCCUAUUACCAGUAGCUCCACACUGAGGAUUACCAGCGCAGCAAGAUUGGGCUAUAGUAACAUCACUCCAUUCUCAUAAGAGACCUCAAAGUUUAUUGGCAAAAAGAGUAGGACAUUCCAUGUAAAUCUCGCUGGUUGAUAUCACAAGGGUUUGAAGAGGAAUUGCCCUCUUACUUCUUUACCCAAGCCUUCCCGAGUUAAUCCAGUGCUACAUCCAUAUGUGAUUUGUGAUUUUUUAUUUUUGGUUUUGUUCUGCUCUCACUCUCAGACUUUUGUUCUAUCUCUUUGCAAGACGUGGGAGUAGAAACUCAUACCUGAAACUAAAUCGUUUCCAUUUUAACCCUCCUAGAAGGUGGGGAUUUGAACUUCACACCUCUCCUUUCUCAUAUGAGAAUGAUGGCCACCGUUACCUCCCUUUAUGAUUCAAUCAAUGUGAAUUUCACUGUUAAUGAAUGAAGGUUAGAAAACAACUUGAAGCCAAGACAAGUUGGUAAAUGCGGUGGUUGAGUCUAGAAUAUUGCUUUGUCUUGGAUAUUUUACACAUCAAAGCACUAUUUGAUUUUACUAAAUGCCCUUCGACUCAACGCAAUAUUUUAAAGGCAAAGCAUUUUCAAACUCACCCGAAAAGACUAGCGGCAAUAGCUUUAGUUGCUUUGGACCAAGCAGUUGAAGAAAGGUCUCUUGCCUGAGCAAAGCUGUUUUCUUAUCAUCUCAUUUGUGGAGAAAUGUGGUUCAAUUUAUGUAUCCUCCAAUGCACGUUUCCAUCUGAAGAGGGAGGCUAACAAAAUGCCAUCUUGACUGGUCAUUUGCCAGAUCAGUAUCUGAAUAGAAAAUAAAUGGUUUAUUAUAGCACUAGGAAAAGGCGUGCCUCGUCUUAUCUUCUACUGGGGCUUUUUCUGAGUGGAAGAUUCGAACACAUUUAGCGGCUUGCGGUUAUGAAACUAAAAAUAACCACUCAAUUAGUUAAGAGGCCAUUCGAUUACGUUUACAAACAAUAAAUUUCUGUCCUUUAAAGUGAAAGAAAAAAACAAUGCAUAAACUUGGAAAAUGAUGUAUAAUUUCAUUAUUUCAAUGCACUUAUUUGUCUACACUCAAUUGGACUCCAAUAAAGAAAAGGGAACGAAUAGGAGAAACUCUCAAAUGAAUUGAACGUUUAUUUUCCACACACACUUCUCUUUUUUAUUUGAUGAAAUGGUCACAAGACUUAUCUUUUAUAGGCUUGUUAAAUAACUCUUAAUCUUAAAUAAUACGCAAAUGUAUCCAACAUUUCAAGGAGAUGCAUUCCUUGAAUUUACAAAUUAUUGAAAUAGACAUAGAAACAUGAAUCUACACAUACAUGAACAUUCUAGAUGCAUGUAGGACAUCCAUGAAUUGUAGUUAAUAACCGACACAUGUCACCCCGAUAGGCUUGAGGUUAACCAAGCCUGUAGGACUCUAACUUAGGGUUUCAAUUGUCCUUAUAGAUAAAUACCCUUGAUUGCACAAUAUUGACACGUUGAUUUUGACUUCCCUUUAGUUUAGUUAGGAUUAGCAUUUAUCUUUUCCUUAGUGUUAAUUCUUUGCUAUCCCAUGAAAUAUAUUUAAUGCUUUCCUUGGUUACUGAUUGUUACGUUAAUAAUUGUGCACCCGCAUGAUCACAUCGUAUGUUAGUCAAUAAGUAUAAAUCAAUCUAGAUUACUUGACAAAAACAUCCUCUUUUUAAAAUGAACAAAAUUAGGUAGCAAAAGGUCAUUAAUUGGUUAAUUAGUGUAAUGAAGUCCUCGAAUCUAGAUUCUCUAGUUGCGUAAGAAGUGAGAUAUACUCUUAUACCCCACUUAGUUUCUAGUCGACCCUAAUAGACUAGUAGCGACUCUUUAUUACAAAAUUCCUAUGAAUCCUCUAAUGUUGCGUGAGGUAUGGGCUUGAGAGAACCCGUGCCUAAUCAUGGCCCAUACAUCUGUCUUUUAGGCAAUGCUCCUAAAUCUAUUCCCUCCCCCCAAGGGGUAAGUCGUGACAGCUUGGCGACUCCGUUGGAGACUUGAUUUAAACUUUAGAUGACUUAGGCUUAAAUCUAUCUUGUUCAAAAAUAAGUUUUGUUUGGCAGCGAUAAUAUUAGGUACGUCCCUAACGUGAGUGUUAAAUGUUUUUGCAGUUGAGAGUUAUGAGGGGAGGAGUGAUUGUUAACCCCUUGUCUUGUAGGUGUGAAGUUGGGAAUGAAUGUUUAUGUUUUGAAUUUUUGAAGUGUUGCUUGUGUAUAAACUGUUGUGUAUAUAUUCUUUGCACCACACUACACUAGCACACAUGAUCUACCACAGAACUUGGGCCACAUAGGAUUUCUUAUAAUAGUGUUGAGGCGAAUAUCACUCAAACUACGAUCAUGUAGUACGAGUCACCCAUCUCAACCCUGAAAUUUCCUUCUUAAUGUCAAGAGUUACCACCCUGUCGACAAUCACACAACAUGGGUAAACUCUUUGACGAAGCCGGAGUCAUGGGAACCCCGACCCAACUGUGAUCACGUCGGUUUAGUCCAAUAAUCUCGUACCUCUAUUUUGAACCGUAUAGAGUAGAAAUCGAACUACAUCCCAUGUGCAUAUCUAUGUAAUAAAAUAAAAAAAGAGAGAGAAAAGUCACCCCCACUGUAAAUAUCAUUUUUCUUUUAUUUGUUAUUUAUUUAUUUAUUGAACUUUCAUUUUGAAAUUCGUGGAAAUCAAUCUCGAUUUUUUACCUUUUUGGCGUGUUGAUUAAAAAUCAAGUGUCGAUAGUAAUGAGAUGGCUAAGGGUAUGGUUACGAUGAAAAAAACAUAUACCGCGAAUAAUCUGGCAGAUAUAUUGACCAAACCAGUUCCUUUGAUCGAGUUUAAGCAUUGCCUGGAUUUGAUUGGCAUUUUUGCCAUUUGAGUGCUUAGGUGGAGUUACUGGCAUUUCAUCCUUUAUUUUCUACACUGAGGCUUAGAGGUGUACAUCAUUGAUUCCGUUGUUUUGGGAUGGCCUUGUGUGGUCACUUUUGGUGUGAGGGAGAGAGUUCUUAUGAUGUUUGGCAUAAUACUCUUUUGGAGAUUUGAAGUAAAGAUGGAAAUUUAUUGAGUUUUGGCUUUCAAAUUAAGAGAGAAGGGUAUUUUAGGUCAUGCACGUUUAUUUUAGAAUUUUUUGAAAUGAGAUUGUAAAAGGACUAUGUUUAAUAACACAUCUCCAUCCCUAUCAUCUAUAUUAUUUCCUAUUUUGUGUUUUCUUAUCUUUUUGCUAGAUAUUUAGAUCCUAUGGCUUAUCAAAUGGUUUGAGAGCUUUUUGGAUUGUAUUCUGGUGCUUUUUAUUGACGAUAGUGAAACACUUCUUUCCUCAAUAUUUUUCUCAUUUUGAAUUUGUCACGUAAAUCUUACGUCUCGUGUGAUUUUAAUUUUUUUUAAUUUUUUUAUUACAUGUUCCUAGUUUGAUGCAUUUCUUAUUGACAUUUUUCCGCAACUAAAAUUUAUUUUUUAAUUCUUGUUUUCAGGCUUUUUCAUGGGGGUUGACAAAAGAUGGCCCACCGAAUGGAAAUAAAACCGGAAAUGCAAUGAGAUUUAGUUCUGACGCAUUAGAUCUCGUCUCGAGGCGGGCAAGAAAGAUCGCAUCGCGUCAAAAUCUGGAACAUUGACAAAUUCCCCAGCGGAAACGUCAUCACCUCCGUUUUAAGACAGCUCACGGAGAAGAAAAGAUCAUGCGACAUCGUACUUCUGCAGAAGCGGACGUGCUGGCAUUUGGCCGAAGGCGGUUCAGCUUCAGCCCCACAAAGCCGAAAGGGCAGACGUAGUUAAUGAGGCUUUGUUAAAAGCGGUUUGACGACAACUUAAUUACUAAAUGUCUUGAAUUCCAGAAGAAUGACUUUUUGAUCGGCAUAAGCAAGGUUGUUCUUGAUUCCUUGGUGGCCAUACAGAUUUGGUUCAUUCAUAUUGUAUCCACGGAACCAUGACUUUAACGACAUUCCUCAAACUAAUCCCUAUAUGAAUGAUGCAAUCAAUUAAGUUAUAUGCAGAAACAAUAUCUAAAAGUGCAAAUUUUUUUUUUCCCCUCUUUGAGAACAUCCACAUCCACGUUCUAUCCUAUAAUUGAUGGCAUGGAAUGCGUGGGAAAUGAAGUAAAGGAAAGAAUGGAAAAAAAUGAGGGAUGGAAUGAAUUACGCAUCGCAAUUCUUGUAUUCAUAUGAAAUAAGUAAAAGGGAAAUAAUAUGACAAUUCUUUUUUCUCGUGCUUGCAUAAUUCUAGAAUGAAAAUUGUCUAAAAUGUCCUCAAACUAGAUAGCGCAAGAAUAAGGGUAAAGGUUACACUCAAAAUCAUUGUAUGUAAUUAAUUUCUUGAUAUUUUGCAGAGGAAUGGAUUGGCCAUAUUGGGCACACCAUUAGUGGAGACAUGGACUGGACACUCUCCUUGUUUGAUAGAGGAAUGAGCAUCCCACAUUUUUGCGAGAACAAACAAAGGAAAUGAAGUUGCAUCUUGAAUUAACCAUUCCAUUUCAAAUCGAUUCCUUUCUACCAAAUAAGGUCAAAUUCUUACAUUUUUGAUCAAGGAUGAUUUGACCAAAACCAAAAUGAUAUCACCAUUUUCUAUUUGUGACUUGUACAAUUGUGUUGAGAGUAUGAGACUUCCGUUCUUGCGUAAGUUCCUACAGAUUUCAUGGACUAAAAUUGUAUCUAAUCUUCUUUUAUCCACAACUUAGAUCUCAUGGCAAUCCUUGCUUGUGUCCUUAAGCCGCAAAUACUAAGCAUGAUUAUAAGGGCAUAAUAUUCAAUUAUCAUCCACUACUAGGCUCACAAAACUUGAACUCAAAUCUUCACUGAAAAGAGAGGGAUAAGAUAUUCAAAAUAUCAUCUACCAUUUUCGACGGAAUAAGCAAGAUGAAUUGGUGAAGGUGGGAAGGGUGGGUGAAAUCCCUAUUGCAAGUCGACUUGUGCUAUGCAUAGUGUCAAUCAAUCGACUUAUCGACCUUGUGUCCCUAGUUGAUUGACACUAUAUAGGCGCCAUUUGCUAGCCAUCACAGUCUCACAAAGGUUGGCCACCAGUGGAGGGAAAUAUGCAAAAAGAAGAAAAAAAAAACCUAAAGAAAGAAGGAAAAAAGAAGGAGAAGAAAAGAAAAAAAUAAUAUAUAUAUUUAAAAAAGCAUAAACUUAGAAAAUGGUGGUGUGACACUAUUUCAACCUUUUUGUCAACACUGCAUGUUACUCUGAUUUAUAACUUUUUUUAGUUUGCCUUGUGCAAGAUGACCUGAACACCAUACUGUGGCUGGAGGGUGAUCUUAGUAAGAGGGGAAUGCGCAUAGGAUGCAGAGAGCUCGAAUGUGAAUUGCUGAAGUAUCAUGGCGAGCGCCAUCUUCGCCUCCAUCAUUGCGAAGUUCUGGCCGACACAUAUGCGUGGGCCCCAUCCAAAUGGGAAAAAGGAGACUUGGUUCUUGGUGGCCUUGGACACUCCCUCGGUGAACCUCUCUGGCUUGAACUCCUCGGCAUCCUCGCCCCACAGUUCUUUAUCAUGGUGGAUGAGGAGAGUCGGCAUCGAGACCUGGACUCCCGCGGGUAAGGUCAGCUUCCCCAGUUUUGUUUCCUUGGGAACCUUACGUGCCAGUACGACCACCGGUGGAUAGAGCCUCAGCACCUCAUUUAAGAUCAUCGUGACCUGAUCACAAAAAAUCCGUAGAAGUUGUCAUAUGGUACAAAAGUGGAGUUAGGAGCAUCUACAUGAUUAUGAUGCCCAAGAAAG